rnacentral:tRNA from 1 species
UCCAUGGUGGCUCAGUGGUAAAGGAUCCGCCUGCAAUGCAGGAGACCCAGGUUCGAACCCUGGCUUGGGAA